GACGAACGCUGGCGGCGUGCUUAACACAUGCAAGUCGAACGGAAAGGCCCUGCUUUUGUGGGGUGCUCGAGUGGCGAACGGGUGAGUAACACGUGAGUAACCUGCCCUUGACUUUGGGAUAACUUCAGGAAACUGGGGCUAAUACCGGAUAGGAGCUCCUGCUGCAUGGUGGGGGUUGGAAAGUUUCGGCGGUUGGGGCUGGACUCGCGGCUUAUCAGCUUGUUGGUGGGGUAGUGGCUUACCAAGGCUUUGACGGGUAGCCGGCCUGAGAGGGUGACCGGCCACAUUGGGACUGGGAUACGGCCCAGACUCCUACGGGAGGCAGCGGUGGAGAAUAUUGCACAAUGGGCGGAAGCCUGAUGCAGCAACGCCGCGUGCGGGAUGACGGCCUUCGGGUUGUAAACCGCUUUCGCCUGUGACGAAGCGUGAGUGACGGUAAUGGGUAAAGAAGCACCGGCUAACUACGUG
rnacentral:rRNA from 1 species